GUCGCUAUGACGGAGUGGUCCAACGUAAUGGUCUGCAAAACCAUAUAACCGCUGGUUCGAAUCCAGCUAGCGACUCCA
rnacentral:tRNA from 5 species